rfam:Anaerostipes sp. 992a contig000004, whole genome shotgun sequence.
UAGAAUCAUUGACUCCGAGCGAAGUAAUCUAAGGGCAACGCCUAUGAUUAUGAGCCGUCAGCUUCCAUAUAUAUAUCUGGAAGGACUGGCCGGGGUUGGGAUGGAAACAGACCAGCCUUCCCUUUUUGAAAAGGAGCCUUAAGAGACUGCCGC